GAGGGGCUCAACAAUUUCUUGCGACAGAAGGUUCGAAUGCUCCAGCUCACUCCAAGCCAAGAUGGGAAGCACGCUGUACAACGAGAGCAGAUUUAAUUUCAGAGCAAUGCAGAAAUCAGCCAACGUUAUAUAAAGGCAUGACUGACCAGAAGAAGCAACAAUAUCAACAUCAUUCUCUGCAUAACAUAGAGGUGGCAGCUUUGGCUGACCUACAGAUGCUCUAGACCAGGAACUGAUCAAGACCGACUCUGAAAGCAUGGUGGAACAUCCGCUUAUAGUUGCACACCAGUCUGACUUGUUAUCGCAGCCGACAUUGUCAUCAAACUUUGUUAACAAAACUUCUUAAACGGGGCUCACGCAUGUACGUAUUUGCCCAAUUCACAACCAAGGCUGCCUCCAAGUUUCUGUGCUUGUUUUCAACACUGUUCUCCCUGCUCUUGUAUCAUGUGAGUAGCGCCUCACACUUCUGACUGGUUCUGCUCUUUCCUCCUACUCAAAACCAGGCACUGAAACCAUACUCUUUUCAUGGCAAAAUUAUCAACAGCCAGUCUGUUGAACUGACUCUAUGCACAAUCUUAGAAACGCAACUCUACCGAUGCCAUUGGGACGAUGUCUCCUAGACCACCGAACUCCGCCACUGCUUCCUACUGUCCUCUGCCAAUGUUCACCCUGUUGAAAGUGAUGUCCUUCAUAGCUGUUUCCUUGAAAACUUGUGCUUGUCAUGCCCCCGACAACGAGCGCAGCAGCAACACCUGCCUCCAAUCAAGAAGAUACAGGGUGAAAGGAGCUCCGCAUCCACACACCGAUGCGGAUUCUUGCAAUCGCUCUGUGCCUUUGCAGUCUCAGCGUCUUUGUUCAGCGUUUGUACCUAGCCUGCUCUUGUGUCUUGACCCUUGCCUGUUCUCUCUUUGACCACCGAGUUUGGAUUGCCCGUCUUGCCACGUUCGUCCCUGGAUUGACCCACACUGUUCUUGACACCGAUCUUGCCUUGUCCCUUGAACCUGACCUACGAGAUUAAAGUCCAAUCCGCAACUGGGUCCACAGACUUACCUGCGUCCAGUCCUCGU